rnacentral:rRNA from 1 species
AGAGUUUGAUCCUGGCUCAGGAUGAACGCUAGCGGCAGGCCUAACACAUGCAAGUCGAACGGUAACAGCACUUCGGUGGCUGACGAGUGGCGCACGGGUGAGUAACGCGUAUGCAACCUACCUUUCACAGUGGGAUAGCCCAGAGAAAUUUGGAUUAAUACCGCAUAGUAUACGGGACCAGCAUUGGAUCUGUAUUAAACAUUUAUGGGUGAGAGAUGGGCAUGCGUUCUAUUAGUUAGUUGGAGUGGUAACGGCACCCCAAGACGGCGAUAGAUAGGGGCCCUGAGAGGGGGAUCCCCCACACUGGUACUGAGACACGGACCAGACUCCUACGGGAGGCAGCAGUGAGGAAUAUUGGACAAUGGGCGCAAGCCUGAUCCAGCCAUGCCGCGUGCAGGAAGACGGCCCUAUGGGUUGUAAACUGCUUUUAUACAGGAAGAAACACCCCGACGUGUCGGGGCUUGACGGUACUGUAGGAAUAAGGAUCGGCUAACUCCGUGCCAGCAGCCGCGGUAAUACGGAGGAUCCAAGCGUUAUCCGGAAUCAUUGGGUUUAAAGGGUCCGUAGGUGGACGAUUAAGUCAGAGGUGAAAUCCUGCAGCUCAACUGUAGAAUUGCCUUUGAAACUGGUUGUCUUGAAUCAUUGUGAAGUGGUUAGAAUAUGUGGUGUAGCGGUGAAAUGCAUAGAUAUCACAUAGAAUACCGAUUGCGAAGGCAGAUCACUAACAAUGUAUUGACACUGAUGGACGAAAGCGUGGGGAGCGAACAGGAUUAGAUACCCUGGUAGUCCACGCCGUAAACGAUGGAUACUAGCUGUACGGACUUCGGUCUGUGUGGCUAAGCGAAAGUGAUAAGUUCCCACCUGG